CAAAUGCUGGAGAGCCUGUGGAGAAAGGGGAACCCUCCUUCACUGCUGGUGGGAAUGCAGAGCCAAAGAAGGAGUUUAGAAGGGACGGUUGUAGCUUUUCCCCUUCAUGUGUCAUGGCCAAAAAAAAUUCUCGAACUUGUCUGACUGGCUCUAAUGAGGAACGUAAG